rnacentral:rRNA from 1 species
GCACAAGCGGUGGAGCAUGUGGUUUAAUCGAAGCAACGCGAAGAACCUUACCAGGUCUUGACAUCCCGAUGCUAUUUCUAGAGAUAGAAAGUUACUUCGGUACAUCGGUGACAGGUGGUGCAUGGUUGUCGUCAGCUCGUGUCGUGAGAUGUUGGGUUAAGUCCCGCAACGAGCGCAACCCCUACGUUUAGUUGCUAACGCGUGAAGGCGAGCACUCUAGACGAACUGCCGUUGACAAAACGGAGGAAGGUGGGGAUGACGUCAAAUCAUCAUGCCCCUUAUGUUCUGGGCUACACACGUGCUACAAUGGCCGGUACAGACGGACGCAAAGCCGCGAGGUGGAGCAAAUCCUAAAAAGCCGGUCUCAGUUCGGAUUGCAGGCUGCAAUUCGCCUGCAUGAAGUCGGAAUCGCUAGUAAUCGCAGGUCAGCAUACUGCGGUCGAAUACGUUCCCGGGCCUU